rnacentral:tRNA from 1 species
GCGUCACUAGGGGAAUUGGCAAACCCACUGGAUUUAGGUUCCAGCGUCCGAAAGGGCAGUGAGGGUUCGAGUCCCUCGUGACGUA